CCUACGGGGGGCAGCAGUGGGGAAUAUUGGACAAUUGGGGGAACCCUGAUCCAGCCAUGCCGCGUGUGUGAAGAAGGCCCUCGGGUUGUAAAGCACUUUCAGUGAGGAAGAACGCCUGGUGGUUAAUACCCAUCAGGAAAGACAUCACUCACAGAAGAAGCACCGGCUAACUCCGUGCCAGCAGCCGCGGUAAUACGGAGGGUGCGAGCGUUAAUCGGAAUUACUGGGCGUAAAGCGCGCGUAGGUGGCUUGAUAAGCCGGUUGUGAAAGCCCCGGGCUCAACCUGGGAACGGCAUCCGGAACUGUCAAGCUAGAGUGCAGGAGAGGAAGGUAGAAUUCCCGGUGUAGCGGUGAAAUGCGUAGAGAUCGGGAGGAAUACCAGUGGCGAAGGCGGCCUUCUGGACUGACACUGACACUGAGGUGCGAAAGCGUGGGUAGCAAACAGGAUUAGAUACCCUAGUAGUC
rnacentral:rRNA from 1 species